CUACCCAUGAGCAGGAUGAAGCGAAAGUAAAAUUUCGUGGAGGUCCGAACCCACGAGCGUUGAAAAGCUCGGGGAUGACUUGUGGGUAGCGGUGAAAUUCCAAUCGAGCCCGGAGAUAGCUGGUUCUCCCCGAAAUAGCUUUAGGGCUAGCCUCAAGGUGAGAGAUACGGAGGUAGAGCACUGAAUGUCCUAGGGGGUAUUGCACCUACCGAAGACUAUCAAACUCCGAAUGCCGUCAUCUUAUACUUGGGAGUCAGACUGUGGGUGAUAAGAUUCAUAGUCGAAAGGGCAACAGCCCAGAUCGUCAGCUAAGGUCCCUAAAUGUAAGUUAAGUGGUAAAGGAUGUGGGAUUGCACAGACAACCAGGAUGUUGGCUUAGAAGCAGCCACUCAUUCAAAGAGUGCGUAAUAGCUCACUGGUCGAGUGAUCCUGCGCCGAAGAUUUCCGGGGCUAAAACUUACUACCGAAGCUACGGCAUCAGUAAUGAUGGGUAGGGGAGCUUCCCAUACGGGUUGAAGCAUGACCGUAAGGACAUGUGGACAGUAUGGGAGUGAGAAUGUUGGCAUGAGUAGCGAGAUGUGGGUGAGAAUCCCACAGGCCGUAAACCCAAGGUUUCCAGGGGAAGGUUCGUCCGCCCUGGGUUAGUCGGGACCUAAGCUGAGGCCGAAAGGCGUAGGUGAUGGACAACAGGUUGAUAUUCCUGUACUACCGAUAACCGUUUGAGAGAAGGGAUGACACAGUAGGAUAAGCUAAGCACACUGUUGGUUAUGUGUGCCCAAGCAUUGAGGCAGUCAAAGUAGGCAAAUCCGCUUUGAUAAUGCUGGGAUGUGAUGGGGAGCGAAAUUUAGUAGCGAAGUAGCUGAUUUCACACUGUCAAGAAAAGUCUCUAUCGAGGUUAAAGGUACCCGUACCGCAAACCGACACAGGUGGGUGAGGAGAGUAUCCUAAGGCCAGCGAGAGAACUGUUGUUAAGGAACUCGGCAAAAUGACCCCGUAACUUAGGGAUAAGGGGUGCCACCAUCAGGUGGCCGCAGAGAAUAGGCCCAAGCGACUGUUUACCAAAAACAUAGGUUUCUGCUAAGUCGCAAGACGAUGUAUAGGAGCUGACGCCUGCCCGGUGCUGGAA
rnacentral:rRNA from 1 species